GCCGAGCUUGGCAACGCGAGCUUGUAACCCGAGUGGGGGCAUUAAGGUGGUGGGACGUGGUCUUGGGAUCCUUGGGUCGGGCAUCGAUUGGCAACCAUCUGGCCCGCCCGUUCCAAGCCGGGAGUUGGCCCAUGCGGCCCGUGCGAAGGCUCGGGCCUCGUGCGGCACUAGAGUGGAGGGGACAGCGUGAGGCUGGCUUCACAGAGCAGCGAAAGCCUCCCGCUCUCGGCAGUGGAAGGAUAACGGGCCGGCGCCGGUGAGGCCCAUAAACGGCUCAAAGGACAAGUUCUACUGGACCACCACCUUU
rfam:Eucalyptus grandis cultivar BRASTZ1 unplaced genomic scaffold scaffold_3, whole genome shotgun sequence.